rnacentral:rRNA from 1 species
CCUACGGGUGGCAGCAGUGAGGAAUAUUGGUCAAUGGACGAGAGUCUGAACCAGCCAAGUAGCGUGAAGUAUGACUGCCCUAUGGGUUGUAAACUUCUUUUAUAUGGGAAUAAAAUGUUCCACGUGUGGGAUUUUGUAUGUACCAUAUGAAUACGGAUCGGCUAACUCCGUGCCAGCAGCCACGGUAAUACGGAGGAUCCGAGCGUUAUCCGGAUUUAUUGGGUUUAAAGGGAGCGUAGGUGGAUUGUUAAGUCAGUUGUGAAAGUUUGCGGCUCAACCGUAAAAUUGCAGUUGAAACUGGCAGUCUUGAGUACAGUAGAGGUGGGCGGAAUUCGUGGUGUAGCGGUGAAAUGCUUAGAUAUCACGAAGAACUCCGAUUGCGAAGGCAGUUCACUGGACUGCAACUGACACUGAGGCUCGAAAGUGUGGGUAUCAAACAGGAUUAGAUACCCGUGUAGUC